AAAGAUUUAGUUAAAUUAUAACACUAAAAUGUCAUACUAAAAUUACUUCAAUUAAAGUAUUCCUUA
rnacentral:tRNA from 1 species